ACGGAAGGCAGCAGUGGGGAAUAUUGCACAAUGGGCGAAAGCCUGAUGCAGCGACGCCGCGUGAGCGAAGAAGUAUUUCGGUAUGUAAAGCUCUAUCAGCAGGGAAGAAAAAUGACGGUACCUGACUCAGAAGCACCGGCUAAAUACGUGCCAGCAGCCGCGGUAAUACGUAUGGUGCAAGCGUUAUCCGGAUUUACUGGGUGUAAAGGGAGCGCAGGCGGUACGGCAAGUCUGAUGUGAAAGCCCGGGGCUCAACCCCGGUACUGCAUUGGAAACUGUCGAACUAGAGUGUCGGAGGGGUAAGUGGAAUUCCUAGUGUAGCGGUGAAAUGCGUAGAUAUUAGGAGGAACACCAGUGGCGAAGGCGGCUUACUGGACGAUCACUGACGCUGAGGCUCGAAAGCGUGGGGAGCAAACAGGAUUAGAUACCCUGGUA
rnacentral:rRNA from 1 species